rnacentral:tRNA from 1 species
GCUCGGGUGGCGAAACUGGUAACCGCAGUUGACUUAAGAUCAACCGCUCGCAAGAGCUUGCCGGUUCGACUCCGGCCCCGAGCACCA